rnacentral:lncRNA from 1 species
AGAAUAGAACGGAAGACACUGUUUCCUGAGCUGGAUUUAGCAAGCAUUAGCAUAGGACAGGACAUCAGAAGCACAACCCAGCAGACAAAAAGUAAGUAGGUGUGGAGAGGGGGCAUCAACAUUGAAGACUUGUGUGGAUCAAAUAAGAAAAAGCAGAAAAGGCAGCCUCCAGAAGGUAAGAACGCGCUUUUGAAAUAUCCGACAAUGAGUAAAUAUCCAAAAAUAUUCAAGUGACUCCUACAGCUCAACAACAAAACUCCAUACAGGGCUGGAGGGA